rnacentral:hammerhead_ribozyme from 1 species
AUCCAGUUGACGAGUCCCAGAUAGGACGAAACGCACUUUAUUGUGGAU